rnacentral:rRNA from 1 species
AUUGAACGCUGGCGGCAGGCCUAACACAUGCAAGUCGAGCGGGGUUCUCGGACCUAGCGGCGGACGGGUGAGUAGUGCGUAGGAAGCUACCCGAUAGAGGGGGAUACCAGUUGGAAACGACUGUUAAUACCGCAUAAUGUCUACGGACCAAAGUGUGGGACCUUCGGGCCACAUGCUAUCGGAUGCGCCUACGUGGGAUUAGCUAGUUGGUGAGGUAAUGGCUCACCAAGGCGACGAUCUCUAGCUGGUUUGAGAGGAUGAUCAGCCACACUGGAACUGAGACACGGUCCAGACUCCUACGGGAGGCAGCAGUGGGGAAUAUUGGACAAUGGGCGCAAGCCUGAUCCAGCCAUGCCGCGUGUGUGAAGAAGGCCU